rnacentral:lncRNA from 1 species
AACUAAACCAACAAAAACACAAUUCUGGAAGAAAAUAGAGAUUUUAAUUGUGUGGGAACAGAUUAACACUAGAAGUCCCAGGGAUUUCUAUAUCCCCCCCAGAAGUCCCAGAGCAGGGUCAAAUUAACUCUAGGACCAAACUGACGACUCUGAUGGCUACAAUUUGCAUCUAUUCAUUUGUAAAUGAAUCACCUGAGAAAUCAGCAGGGGGGAGAGCCUGACUCUAACAAUGGAAGUCUGGAAUGUUAGGGGGAAGUGCCCUGGAAGCUAAAGUCACAAUGCCCCGUUUAUUAACUCGUUCUGCUUGAUGCUGGGGGAGAACAAACACAGACUACAAACAUUGAAAGAAACAGUCACCUCUUCCAACACACCUGAUUCAAAUGAUUAUCAGGCUUCUGCAGAGCUGGAUGAUCAUUUGAAUAAGGUGUGCUGAUUAGUGGCCCUCGAGGACCGGAAUUGGACACCCCUGGAAUACCCUGUUGUCAUGCAGCCUUUUGUGCUGUGGGGAAUAAAUAACUGGCUGCUUCCACCUGCUGACACUCCACACUUAUUCUACUCAAAAUGCAGAGAAGAUUUACCACUCAAGAAGUGUUGGAAUUGAUCCUGAACAAGGCAAACCCUUGUGACUCAGAUGGAGAGGACAUAAACCUUCAGCCAAAUUCGGAUUCGGACUCUGAGCUGUCUUCAGAUGACGAGACUGCUCCUCAUCUGGAAAAGAGAGCUCGGUUGGAGAGUGAGCCCACAGAGACGGCGAAAGAGGGCACAGUGUGGCAUGAAGAACAUGUGGGUACAAUUCUCCGUUUCACUCCAAUGGAACCGUACGCUGCAGAUGGAGAGCCAACAGCAAAGGCCAGAAGAAGAAUCAGGAGUCGCCUUCAGAGCUUCCUCUGUUUCAUUACUGUUGGCAUGCUCCGUCCCAUUCAAGAAUGGACUAUUCAGCAUGCACGGCAAACGGAGCAGACGGACUGGUUCAUGAUCCUCCAUGAACUAAUGGCAUUUAUUUCUGUUAUUAUUUUGAGGGGGGUGACCAAGGUUCCAUCUCUGCGUGACAGCUGGUCAGCAUGCCUGGGAAACCCACUUAUCACUGGAAUUAUGUCACAAAACCGUUUCCAAGACAUCAUGCGUCACCUACGAUUUGAUGACAUGUUUACGCGCAGUGAGCGAGUGCAGACAGAUAAGUUUGCUGCAAUUUCGGAUGUGUGGGGAUCGUUUGUUACCAACUGCAUCACAUGCUACAACCCUGGUUGACACAUCACAAUUGAUGAACAGCUUUUCCCAUCGAAGACUCGCUGCUGUUUCCUGCAGUACAUUGCAACAAAACCAGACAAAUUUGGCAUAAAGUUUUGGGUGGCUUGUGAUUUGAAAACAAAGUACAUCUGCAAUGUCCUCCCAUAUCUUGGAAAGGACCCCAGUCGUCCCAGUGAGGAGAGACUUUCUGAGAGUGUGGUGAUGAAGCUGAUGGAACCAUUUAUGGACAAAGGCAGGACGGUCACCACGGACAAUUUCUUUACAUCACUGACACUUGGACGACGACUGCUCAGCCGGAAAACCACCAUCCUCGGGACAGUCAACAAGAUUCGCCGGG